GACCAACACGGAGAAAUCCCGUCUCUACUAAAAAUAUAAACAUUAGCCGGGCGUGGUGGGCACCUAUAAUCCCAACUACUCGGGAGGCUGAGGCAGGAGAAUCGCUUGAACUUGGGAGGCGGAGGUUGCAGUGAGCUGAGAUGGCACCAUUGCAUUCCAGCCUGGGUGAGAGAGUGAGACUCCACCUCAAAAAGAAAAAAGCGGAGGUGGCUGUUUGAGAAGAUGUUGUCUGAAUGAAGACCUCGAGCAAGGAGGCCAACAGACAGUAGGGGAAGCGUGUCUUGGGAUUUCAGGCAGCAGAGGCAGGAGUGAGGGGGUGAGUAGGGGUAGAUGAGCCCAGAAGGAUGAUGAAGAGCUAGGUGCUGUAGACCGUCAUAAGAUUGCCUCGUAAAACAGGGAGUUACUUCUGGGUUUGAGCGGUGGAGUGCCUUGUAGGUGGCAAGGGUGGAAACAGACUUUUAUGUUAACUGAGAGUUGAGCUAUGUGGUGGUUUGAGAGGAGGCACGAACGGUUUUGAAGGUGUUGCUGAUGAGAUCUGAUGACAAGUUGCGUGCUGGGUAUUAGAGACAGAGAUUUGCCUUUAGUCUGAGCCCCUGGAAGGGUGAAGCCACCAUCAGGCACAGUAGUGCAGGGCGCAGGCGCAGCAAGUCCAGGGAAGACCGCGGCUGGGAGCGCAGGCACAGCAAGUCCGGGGAAGACCGCGGCUGGGGGGCUUGUGUAGUGUGUUUGAGUGUAUGUUGUAGAGGCUGUUGGGUAGGAGACAUGGGUCUGCCAAAAACGUACCUCCUGGCAAUCUUCCUGUCUUGCUUGUUGGUAACCCUUGUGAAGGGAGUUGACUGACCCUGUAGGCCACUCCCCGCCCCCUCUACUUCCACUUCCCACUGGGGUCGCUGACUUCUGCCUUCUCAGCCGGCGUAAAGGCCGUGCCUCUGAGCACAAAGACCAGCUCUCUCGGCUGAAGGACAGAGACCCCGAGUUCUACAAGUUCCUGCAGAAGAAUGACCAGAGCCUGCUAAACUUCAGCGACUCGGACAGCUCCGAGGAGGAAGAGGAGCCGUUCCACUCCCUUCCAGAUGUGCUGGAGGUGAGGGCGUGGGCCAAACCAGGAGGGGGGCACUUGUGGCCUCUACACUCUCCUUCAGCUCAGCUUUUCCGUGCAGGAAGCCAGUGAGGAGGAUGGAGCGGAGGAGGGGGAAGAUGGGGACAGAGUCCCCAGAGGGCUGAAGGGGAAGAAGAAUUGUGUUCCUGUGACCCUCGCCAUGGUUGAGAGAUGGAAGCAGGCAGCAAAGCAACGCCUCACUCCAAAGCUGUUCCAUGAAGUGGUACAGGCGUUCCGAGCAGCUGUGGCCACCACCCAAGGGGACCAGGAAAGUGCUGAGGCCAACAAAUUCCAGGUCACGGACAGUGCUGGUGAGCUUGGGGGGAGCCUGGCAUCCAGGCUGUUUGUUGCGUUCUGUCCCGUGAGUACAUCCAGGCCUUUUCGUUGCAGUGUUCAAUGCUCUGGUUACCUUCUGCAUCAGAGACCUCAUUGGCUGUCUCCAGAAGCUGCUAUUUGGAAAGGCGGCAAAGGACAGCAGCAGAAAACGUGGGCCAAAGGAAACCAGUCUGCAGCAGUUGGUGGUGCCUCGCCGACCCCAGAGGUGCCGAGUACCAGCUGCUGGGCUUGGGGACCUUGUGUGGUCUCACGGUGGGGAUGUGAUCAAGGGGAUCUAGAAAAGGUUUAUGUCUGAGAGAAGGAGUUGGAGGCUGGGACUUCUGGGGACUCUUAGGGAGGUGGCCAACCCUGGGCAGGGCAGACAGGAGUUCAAGGCCACUGAAGGAGGGGCUAAUGCCCUUGAGGGGGUCCUGCUAAGCCCCCCGUGUCUGUCUAGCUGUAAGGGGCCCUGAGCUUUUUUGAGAGGAGAGAUGGGGGGUCUCUGCAGGGUCGUGGAGGCUGUGCUGGCCAGGGCACGCGCCAACAUGCUGAGCAGCCUGGCGUCUGAGCCGUGGGGUCUCCCAGACAGGGAUGGGUGGUCUCUCUGCAGGAUGCUGCAGCCGUCCGGCAGCCCGCUCUGGGGGAAGCUCCGUGUGGACAUCAAGGCGUACCUGGGCUCAGUCAUACAGCUGGUGUCCUGUCUGACGGAGACAACGGUGUUGGCGGCCGUGCUGCGGCACAUCAGCGUGCUGGUGCCCUGCUUCCUGACCUUCCCCAAGCAGUGCCGCAUGCUGCUCAAGAGAAUGGUGGUUGUAUGGAGCACUGGGGAGGAGUCCCUGCGGGUGCUGGCUUUCCUGGUCCUCAGCAGAGUCUGCCGGCACAAGAAGGACACUUUCCUUGGCCCCGUCCUCAAGCAAAUGUACAUCACGUAUGUGAGGAACUGCAGGUUCACCUCGCCGGGCGCCCUCCCCUUCAUCAGUUUCAUGCAGCGGACCCUGACGGAGCUGCUGGCCCUGGAGCCGGGUGUGGCCUACCAGCACGCCUUCCUCUACAUCCGCCAGCUCGCCAUACACCUGCGCAACGCCGUGACCACCCGCAAGAAGGAAACGUACCAGUCUGUGUACAACUGGCAGUACGUGCACUGCCUCUUCCUGUGGUGCCGGGUCCUGAGCACUGCGGGCCCCAGCGAAGCCCUCCAGCCCUUGGUCUACCCCCUUGCCCAGGUCAUCAUUGGCUGUAUCAAGCUCAUCCCCACUGCCCGCUUCUACCCACUGCGAAUGCACUGCAUCCGUGCCCUGACGCUGCUCUCGGGGAGCUCGGGGGCCUUCAUCCCAGUGCUGCCUUUCAUUCUGGAGAUGUUCCAGCAGGUCGACUUCAACAGGAAGCCGGGGCGCAUGAGCUCCAAGCCCAUCAACUUCUCCGUGAUCCUGAAGCUGUCCAAUGUCAAUCUGCAGGAGAAGGCGUACCGGGACGGCCUGGUGGAGCAGCUGUAUGACCUCACCCUGGAGUACCUGCACAGCCAGGCACACUGCAUCGGCUUCCCAGAGCUGGUGCUGCCUGUGGUCCUGCAGCUGAAGUCGUUCCUCCGGGAGUGCAAGGUGGCCAACUACUGCCGGCAGGUGCAGCAGCUGCUUGGGAAGGUUCAGGAGAACUCGGCGCACAUCUGCAGCCGCCGCCAGAGGGUUUCCUUCGGCGUCUCUGACCAGCAGGCAGUGGAAGCCUGGGAGAAGCUGACCCGGGAAGAGGGGACUCCCCUGACCUUGUACUACAGCCACUGGCGCAAGCUGCGUGACCGGGAGAUCCAGCUGGAGAUCAGUGGCAAAGAGCGGCUGGAAGACCUGAACUUCCCUGAGAUCAAACGAAGGAAGGUGGCUGACAGGAAGGAUGAGGACAGGAAGCAAUUUAAAGACCUCUUUGACCUGAACAGCUCUGAAGAGGAUGACACCGAGGGAUUCUCGGAGAGAGGGAUACUGAGGCCGCUGAGCACUUGGCAUGGGGUGGAAGAGGAUGAAGAGGACGAGGAGGAGGGCGAGGAGGACAGCAGCAACUCGGAGGGUGAAUGGUCUUGGGAUGGCCACCCAGACGGAGAGGCGGGGCUGGCCCCUGGAGAGCUGCAGCGGCUGGCCCAGGGGCCGGAGGAUGAGCUGGAGGAUCUGCAGCUCUCAGAGGAGGACUGAGGCAGCCCAUCUGGGGGGCCUGUAGGGACCGCUGGGCUGGUGGCCAGUGUUUCCACCUCUCCAGCAGUCAGGCCUAGAGGCUGGCGUCUGUGCAGUUGGGGGAGGCAGUAGACACGGGGCAGGCUUUACUAUUUAUUUUUCAGCAUGAAAGACCAAACAUACCGAGGGCUGAGGUGGGCUGGCGUGGCUGCUGAAGCCCCACAGCUGUGGGCUGUUGAAGUCAGCUCCGCGGGGGAGCUGACCCUGACGUCAGCAGACCGAGACCAGUCCCAGUUCCAGGGGGAGGCCUGCAGGCCCCUGGCCCCUUCCACCACCUCUGCCCUCCGUCUGCAGACCUUGUCCAUUCGCACCAGGCUCUGCAUUCACUCCCCCAAGUCUUUGGAAAUUUGUUCCUUUCCUUUGAAAUCACAUUUUCUUUUAAAAUUUUUUGUUUUGCAUCCAAAAGCAAAAGAAAUAAAGCUGUGGGAGGCAGGGCCGUUGUAUU
rnacentral:sRNA from 1 species